UUUUUUUUUUUUUUUUGAUCUUUCACUUUCUGUGCUGGGUUGUUAAUUUUUGAAGCUUCUUUUUUCUAUUUUAAUCAAUUCAUUUGUUUCGUUUUGUUUUGUUUUGUUUUGUUUUGUUUUUUACUCCUGUGAAGUCAACCAUUGGACCAUGGCCUAUACAUACUUAUUGUCUAGAAAUGAACCAGGAUGAACUUUGUCCUUUCAACCCCUUCCAUCUUGCAGAACUGAAUCAUUAUUUUACUGUUACACUUGCAAUCGCUGUUCAAUAAAGCUUCCAGUGGACCCUCUUUCACCUUUGCCAGAUUUCUAGUUUCUUGCUUGAACGUCCUUCAUCUUUUCAAAUUGUCCUUUGGCUGUAUUCAAUACUUAAGUGACUAUUACUUCGCAAUGCAUGCGCUGUAACCCCAAUUUGCCAUUCGUUGGAGUUUAUUUUCUGAGGAAAAUUGCACUUCAUUACAGAUCUAUUCAUCUGUGAGUUGGGGGGAAUAUAGUAUUAUUCCAAUCUUAAAUGGGUCAUUUUUUUUUUCUCCUUUUGCUUGAGUAGGGAAUGGGAAAAUAAGUUCAGGCUCCUUUGUAGUUGAUUUGGCAAGGAUACUUAAUCAGCACUAUUAGGGUCAUGGUAAUUCUUCAAUGCCACGACAGAAUAUAUAUUACUUAUGAAAUGUAAACAAAAGGGCCACACUUGAAAAUUUUAGUGCACUAUAAACUCACAGCAGGUAAAAAACAUAAGUGAUUCAAAGAACUCAUUGCUGUGUGGAACAACACUAUUAGCUGAAUACGCUAGUACCUCACUUCCCACAACAAAUGUGCUCUGAAAAAGAGCUUGUAUGUUAAACUUUUAUGUACUGAUUCAUAUUUUCAGUGUCAUGGAAAACAAAUAGCCAAAAAUUAAAGAAUGCAUUUAAACAGCACUGUAGAGUUUAUGAAGGGCUUUAAUGUAAGUAAUUGGAUUCUCAUUAAAAAGAAAACUGUGAAGGAGAUAAGCCUAGUGGCAAUAUGUCCACAUAUUAUGACCAGGUCAGGCUACAGAACUUGCCCAAUAUAUCACACAGCAAGAAAAGUUGCAGAGAUGUUAUUAACCUAAUAUUUUGUUCCAAAAUUCAAUGUUGCUCUCUCCAUUCCAAGCUGUAGGCAUCCAUAGUUCAAGUUUUGAUUUUAUACAUCAGGCUAGUUUUGACUUAUCUUUCAUUUACUUGGGUAUCUUUCCUAUAGAUUUAGUUAUAUUUCCUACAAAUUAUCCUUAGAUGAUCUAUAUCAAGAUCUGAAUU
rnacentral:lncRNA from 1 species